CCGGUCCCGCCCCCGCCCCGCCCCGCUCCAGCUGUCAGUGUAUGGGCAUGGUCGUUCUGGCCACGCCUCUACCUUAUUGGCUGCAUUGCUCGUACAAAUGCAAGAGACUCGUGGACUUUCCCAGAGGUCCAGUGGUUAAGACUCUUCCCUUCCAGUGUAGGGGGCAGCAGUUCCCAUCCCUGGUUGGAGGACUAAGAUCCCACCUGUGCAGUGAAACAACUCCCUCCCCGCCCCCAACAAC